GCUUCCACAAUUUACUCUAAAAUGGAAUUAUAUAGAAUAUGAACAAGAUAAAUUAUAAAGUAUAUAUUGAUACUACACAACUUUUAAAAGUUUCAUUGUCAAGAAUCAUUAUAAUUCGUUUAAAAUGAUUUUUAUCGGAUAUGGAUAUUGGUAUUGAUAUUGAAGGGAGGCGCUCGUGGGCGUCCAAGCAUUUAGGCCACCAGACCGCUCUAGAGAACGUCCAAAAUGCCACCCUUUCUAUAGAAGUAAAUAUGAAACUCCAAAAUUAAUACAAACAAGGAACUAUCAUCAUGAAAAAUCGUUACAUUUCAACUGAGAUGGUUUGAAUCAAAGUUGUAGGAUUAUUUGAUGCGGUUUUACAAUGCCCAUCCGAGUUUCAAACUAUGGUAAACGCGAACACAGUUAAACGUAGAAAAUGUCAAAAUGGGUACAUGUCGACGAAUUUUUAAAUUAAAGGAUUCAAAAAAUUUGCAGAAAGAGAAUUGAUACAAGAACUAGAUGUUUCACUAUCCCCUAUAAAAAAAAGCUGACGUCCCAGGUAACAAAUUAGACCAUUGAAGAACCGCUUAGAAGAGGGUAGUUUAACAGCAAAAAUUAUCAUCAAUGAGUUAUCAAUAAAACGACUUCUGAUAAUUUCUAGAGAAAUUAUCAUAAGAAAUUUAAAUAAAAACCAUCAUUGCCAAUUUGGAAAAAAAAUUAUCCAAGUAAAAUAUUAUUCGGAUAAAUGGAUAUAAACACAGGUGGACAAUAAAUCACUACCGACAACUUAGUUAUGAAGAAUAUCAUUCAUCAAUUAUAAAAAAAAAGAGACAAUUUUAUUAAAUAAACGAUCAUUGAAACUUUGUAAGUAUUCGUCGAGUCAUCCAAGAAAAUACUUCAUUUAGACAUAAAUUUCAAUUUAACAAGUAAGUUUUUUAUAUUCGUUUUAUGUAACAUAAUAAGUUUUUCGAGUUUAACACAAGAAAUGUAAAACAUAAGUCUACACAAUCUGUCAAACAAAUUCGGUAUUGUUUACAGAUUCCUUUUUAUUUCUUUUAAGAACAUAAAGUGACGAUAAGAAAUGAAAUAAAAGAAAAGUAUAAAGAAUAAAAUAUCGUUUAUUUAAAAAAUAAUAAUUCAAGUGAAUAUCACAUGUGAUAUUAAAAAUAUUUAUUACUACAUAAAUUACUUCCCUUCCUAAAGUAUUAUAAUUAAUGAAAAAGUAAAAGAAACAAUAAUAAUGCGGAUAAGUACAGAUUAUUUUUUCGAUAUAUUUUUGCUUAAUGAUGUUUAAACAUCUUCACGAAAUUACCAAAAAACUACAAUAAUUUUCUAAUAUUUCAUCGCAUGUAAUUGCCUAAUAAUAUCAUACAUAAUGUUGAGGUUGCAACAUUCGGGUAAUUCAAAGUCCAAAAGGUUUUCGCAAGCACUUUAAUGACGUGACCUAAUUAUCGCCAACAUGGUAUGCCUUGCGUUUAUAACCAAAAUUAUAAUCACCUUUUGUACAACACACGUUUAACGUAAAGCAGGAACGAGAUUUCACUCUACGAAUAGAAAAAUUAAUAAAUCCUUUCACAACAACAUCGAAGGAAAACUCAAUGAAAACGAUUAAUUGCCAGCAAGCGGGAGAGGCUUCCCCCU